UACAGAGGAUGCAAGCGUUAUCCGGAAUGAUUGGGCGUAAAGCGUCUGUAGGUGGCUUUUAAGUCCGCCGUCAAAUCCCAGGGCUCAACUCUGGACAGGCGGUGGAAACUACCAAGCUGGAGUACGGUAGGGGCAGAGGGAAUUUCCGGUGGAGCGGGUGAAAUGCGUAGAGAUCGGAAAAGAACACCAACGGCGAAAAGCAACUCUGCUGGGCCGACACUGACACUGAGAGACGAAAG
rnacentral:rRNA from 1 species